GGUUCUUUAGCUCAGCCGGUUAGAGCUUCGUACUUAUAAGGAGAACUGUUGUUAUGCGAAGGUCCCGAGUUCGAUCCUCGGAAGAACCA
rfam:Schizopora paradoxa strain KTC8140 unplaced genomic scaffold SCHPAscaffold_00139, whole genome shotgun sequence.